CUCUCUUUCGUUGCUACACAGUUGAGGGGAAUGCUGUCUGGUUCGAGACCAUUCACCUGAAGCGCACGCAUUCAUCUUUUGAGUGAUCUCGGACCAGGCUUCAUUCCCCCCAACUCAAAAUCACAGGCUAAUUAAACUCUUGGCUAGCUGGAAACCCUUAAUUAUGCAACUUCAAUCAAUGGCCUGAUAUCUUUAGCCCACUACAGCUCUUCACUUCUCAAAAUCUGGCAAUCUUGCAUUAUGUUCAGUAUUUCAAUUUGUGUCUCUUUUUUAUAUUCUGUUCGCAGCUCACAAGAAAGCACCAGUGAAGAUCAAUGAAACACGUACAUACAUGUACAAUUGAGGCUAAUUAAAGAAUCGGGUGUGAUCAUCUAGCUAGCUAGAAUCAGGAUAUUUAAACAGUCAAGAGGACCUGCUCUGACGUAACAAUCUAUAUCCUAGAUGGAUUAAUUAAGGAAGUUCUACUUUUACUGCAAUGCCGUGUCUGUUCGUGUGCUGAACCAUUCAACUUGCCAAAAUUAGGGAGGGUGCUGUAAAUAAGCACCUAGCUAGUUGUGGUUCUCUUUUCUUUCAAGAAGCCAAGUUAAUUGAUUAAGACAAUUACGUCAUCAAAGAUAAAGCAUGCAUCUCUCAAGAAGAAAAUUGCUACAGUUGCACUUGA